rnacentral:tRNA from 1 species
GCCUUCGUGCCGAAAUCGGUAGACGGAUUAGUUUUAGGAACUAACGCUUUUACAAGCAUGUCGGUUCGAGUCCGACCGAAGGCA